UACGGAGGGGGCUAGCGUUGUUCGGAAUUACUGGGCGUAAAGCGCACGUAGGCGGCUUUGUAAGUCAGGGGUGAAAUCCCGGGGCUCAACCUCGGAACUGCCUUUGAUACUGCAAAUCUCGAGUCCGGAAGAGGUGAGUGGAAUUCCUAGUGUAGAGGUGAAAUUCGUAGAUAUUAGGAAGAACACCAAUGGCGAAGGCAGCACUCUGGGACGGUACUGACGCUGAGACGCGAAAGCGUGGGGAGCAAACAGG
rnacentral:rRNA from 1 species